AGACCCGAAACCCGGUGAUCUAGCCAUGGGCAGGUUGAAGGUUGGGUAACACUAACUGGAGGACCGAACCGACUAAUGUUGAAAAAUUAGCGGAUGACUUGUGGCUGGGGGUGAAAGGCCAAUCAAACCGGGAGAUAGCUGGUUCUCCCCGAAAGCUAUUUAGGUAGCGCCUCGUGAAUUCAUCUCCGGGGGUAGAGCACUGUUUCGGCAAGGGGGUCAUCCCGACUUACCAACCCGAUGCAAACUGCGAAUACCGGAGAAUGUUAUCACGGGAGACACACGGCGGGUGCUAACGUCCGUCGUGAAGAGGGAAACAACCCAGACCGCCAGCUAAGGUCCCAAAGUCAUGGUUAAGUGGGAAACGAUGUGGGAAGGCCCAGACAGCCAGGAUGUUGGCUUAGAAGCAGCCAUCAUUUAAAGAAAGCGUAAUAGCUCACUGGUCGAGUCGGCCUGCGCGGAAGAUGUAACGGGGCU
rnacentral:rRNA from 1 species